rnacentral:rRNA from 1 species
GCGCGUAGGCGGCUUGGCAAGUCAGAUGUGAAAGCCCCGGGCUUAACUCGGGAACUGCAUCUGAAACUGCCUUGCUUGAGUCCUGGAGGGGGUAGUGGAAUUCCCAGUGUAGCGGUGAAAUGCGUAGAUAUUGGGAGGAACACCUGCGGCGAAGGCGGCUACCUGGACAGUGACUGACGCUGAUGCGCGAAAGCUAGGGGAGCAAACGGGAUUAGAUACCCCGGUAGUCCUAGCCGUAAACGAUGGGCACUUGGUGUCGGGGGUAUUGAGUCCCCCGGUGCCGGAGUUAACACGUUAAGUGCCCCGCCUGGGGAGUACGGUCGCAAGACUGAA